UAUUUUGUAUAGGCUUAUCUUAUAUCUUUCAUUGUUAUCAUGUUUAGUUUCCUUAUAUUUUUCCUAUAAAUUAAAAUUGAAAUAUAUAGAUGUGUUGCUGGACAUCACAGCAAGAGGUUGACUAAGUAUGAUAUGAAGGCUGAUCGAUUUUAUAUUCCCUGCGAGUUUGCUAGGUUACUACUUAAGAGUGGAGGAUUGGAAGAUUGGAAAUUUACUGUUAAAGACUCAAAGAUUGCUAAAACCUUUGCAAUGCAUGUCUUGAAAAGUAAGGGCAGGAAUCGAGAGUACAAAAUAGGACCUAAAUGGAAAGAUUUUGUCAGGAUGCAUAAACUUAGGCCUGGAUAUUUAUAUGUAUUUAGCAGUGUUUCGAA